rnacentral:rRNA from 1 species
GAUGAACGCUGGCGGCGUGCCUAAUACAUGCAAGUCGAGCGAACAGACGAGGAGCUUGCUCCUCUGACGUUAGCGGCGGACAGGUGAGUAACACGUGGAUAACCUACCUAUAAGACUGGGAUAACUUCGGGAAACCGGAGCUAAUACCGGAUAAUAUAUUGAACCGCAUGGUUCAAUAGUGAAAGACGGUUUUGCUGUCACUUAUAGAUGGAUCCGCGCCGCAUUAGCUAGUUGGUAAGGUAACGGCUUACCAAGGCAACGAUGCGUAGCCGACCUGAGAGGGUGAUCAGCCACACUGGAACUGAGACACGGUCCAGACUCCUACGGGAGGCAGCAGUAGGGAAUCUUACGCAAUGGGCGAAAGCCUGACGGAGCAACGCCGCGUGAGUGAUGAAGGUCUUCGGAUCGUAAAACUCUGUUAUUAGGGAAGAACAAAUGUGUAAGUAACUAUGCACGUCUUGACGGUACCUAAUCAGAAAGCCACGGCUAACUACGUG